rnacentral:rRNA from 1 species
AUUGAACGCUGGCGGCAUGCCUUACACAUGCAAGUCGAACGGCAGCACGGGAGUAAUCCUGGUGGCGAGUGGCGAACGGGUGAGUAAUAUAUCGGAACGUGCCCAGUCGUGGGGGAUAACGUAGCGAAAGCUACGCUAAUACCGCAUACGAUCUACGGAUGAAAGCGGGGGAUCGCAAGACCUCGCGCGAUUGGAGCGGCCGAUAUCAGAUUAGCUAGUUGGUGGGGUAAAAGCCCACCAAGGCGACGGUCUGUAGCUGGUCUGAGAGGACGACCAGCCACACUGGAACUGAGACACGGUCCAGACUCCUACGGGAGGCGGCAGUGGGGAAUUUUGGACAAUGGGCGAAAGCCUGAUCCAGCAAUGCCGCGUGCAGGACGAAGGCCUUCGGGUUGUAAACUGCUUUUGUACGGAACGAAACGGUCUCUUUUAAUACAGGGGGGCUAAUGACGGUACCGUAAGAAUAAGCACCGGCUAACUACGUGCCAGCCGCCGCAGUAA